UCAAACCUUACCCUCCUGUUUCC
rnacentral:miRNA from 1 species